rnacentral:rRNA from 1 species
GAUGAACGCUAGCGGCAGGCUUAAUACAUGCAAGUCGAGGGGCAUCAAGGUACACGAAAGUGUAUUGUUGGCGACCGGCGGACGGGUGAGUAAUAGGUAGGUAACCUACCUCAUACUGAGGCAUAGCUGGGAGAAAUUCCAGGUAAUUCCUCAUGAGGUUAUAUGACACAUGUGAUAUAAUCAAAGGUAUCGCAAGGUACUGGUAUGAGAUGGGCUUACUGACCAUUAGCUAGUUGGUGAGAUAAGAGCUCACCAAGGCGAAGAUGGUUAGGGGUUUUGAGAGAGAGAUCCCCCAAUUGGAACUGAGAUACGGUCCAGACUCCUACGGGAGCAGCAGUAGGGAUAUUGGGCAAUGGCGAGCCUGACCCAGCCAUGCCGCGUGAAGGAAGACGGCCUUAUGGGUUGUAAACGUUCUUUACUAUGCGACUAACUAGAUUUACGAGAUAAUUCUAUAGAAUGUAGCAUAGCAAAAGCACGGA